GAUGAACGCUGGCGGCGUGCCUAAUACAUGCAAGUCGAGCGAACGGACGAGAAGCUUGCUUCUCUGAUGUUAGCGGCGGACGGGUGAGUAACACGUGGAUAACCUACCUAUAAGACUGGGAUAACUUCGGGAAACCGGAGCUAAUACCGGAUGAUAUUUUGAACCGCAUGGUUCAAAAGUGAAAGACGGUCUUGCUGCCACUUAUAGCUGGAUCCGCGCUGCAUUAGCUAGUUGGUAAGGUAACGGCUUACCAAGGCAACGAUGCAUAGCCGACCUGAGAGGAUGAUCGGCCACACUGGAACUGAGACACGGUCCAGACUCCUACGGGAGGCAGCAGUAGGGAAUCUUCCGCAAUGGGCGAAAGCCUGACGGAGCAACGCCGCGUGAGUGAUGAAGGUCUUCGGAUCGUAAAGCUCUGUUAUUAGGGAAGAACAGAUGUGUAAGUAUCUGUGCAUAUCUUGACGGUACCUAAUCAGAAAGCCACGGCUAACUACGUG
rnacentral:rRNA from 1 species